AACGAACGCUGGCGGCAGGCUUAACACAUGCAAGUCGAACGAUCCUUCGGGAUAGUGGCAGACGGGUGAGUAACGCGUGGGAACCUUCCCUAUGGUACGGAAUAGCUCCGGGAAACUGGAAUUAAUACCGUAUAAGCCCUUCGGGGGAAAGAUUUAUCGCCAUUGGAUGGGCCCGCGUCGGAUUAGCUUGUUGGUAAGGUAAAAGCUUACCAAGGCGACGAUCCGUAGCUGGUCUGAGAGGAUGAUCAGCCACACUGGGACUGAGACACGGCCCAGACUCCUACGGGAGGCAGCAGUGGGGAAUAUUGGACAAUGGGCGCAAGCCUGAUCCAGCCAUGCCGCGUGAGUGACGAAGGCCCUAGGGUUGUAAAGCUCUUUCGUCGGGGAAGAAAAUGACUGUACCCGAAUAAGAAGGUCCGGCUAACUUCGUG
rnacentral:rRNA from 1 species